GUGGACCUGUUGAAGUCAAUGGGUAUGGACAGCUGGCAGCUAAAGACAAAAUCAGCACAUGUAAAAGAUCACAGGACAAUUUUCUUCACUGAUACAUCCUGAAUUUUUUAUUGGGAAGUUCAAGAAAAAAAAGGCUAUGCAUGGGACAAUGCUUGGAAGAUACAGUGCAAAACAAAGAGUGGGAUUCUGAUUCCAGACACUCAACUAGCCUGAUAUCCACUGGGAAAGUGAUGACACCAUAAAUUAUUUAAAGGCUUGAAAACC
rnacentral:lncRNA from 12 species